AGAAUACAAUGACUAGUGUCUAACUAACAGGUGAGAGGGAGGAGUAUGUUCUCUGAGAUGUGGGUCUGAGAGUGUUCAUCUAGUUCAAGCUGUAGUGCUCUCUAUCUUCCAUAGUCCACCACAAUGUUCUUCCACGUUGGAAUACUGCUAACAGCCUUUAUAGGUUGCACCUUUGGAAAUCAAAUCACUUCAAACAGUGCUGAGGUCAACACAGUGUCGGGUUUAACCAUAAUCCUGUCCUGCAACUACUCCUCGUCUACCUAUCUACAAUGGUAUCGGAAGUACCCAAGAUCAGAGCCCCAGUUUCUCAUGAAUGUGUUUAGUUCUGAUGAGGCUCAGAACUCAAGCACUGACCCCCACUUAUCUGGGAUUCUGAACAAAGAGAGAAAUCAAAUCUUCCUGAACAUCAACUCUGCUAAACUCUCAGACUCUGCAGUGUACUACUGUGCCAUGCAGCCCACAGUGAACAAAACAGACUCACUGUCAUACAAAAACCACAGUCUCACAUUUCAGGAAGACAAUCUAUAUGUAUCAGCAGAAACCAAAUCAGACACAUGUCUGUAG